CAAUAGCGUAUAUUAAAGUUGUUGCAGUUAAAAAGCUCGUAGUUGAAAUUUUGGGACGAGGGACUAGGACAAGUCCUCUGUCCCUCGGACUAAUACUCGCGAAGAAGUUAUCGUGCAUUAAUUUGUGCUUUAACGGAGUCGUGUCAUUUACUGUGAACAAAUUAGGGUGUUUAAAGCAGGCCUACGUUUGAAUACAUUAGCAUGGAAUAAUAAGAUAUGACCUUGGUUGUAUUUUGUUGGUGACUGCCAAAGUAAUGAUUGAUAGAAACUGUUGUGGGUAUUCGUAUGAGCAUGUCAGAGGUGAAAUUCUUGGAUUUUGAUCAGACGAACUACUGCGAAAGCAUUUACCAAGGAUGUUUNCAUUAA
rnacentral:rRNA from 1 species